ACGGGAGGCAGCAGUAGGGAAUCUUGGACAAUGGGCGUAAGCCUGAUCCAGCCAUGCCGCGUGAGUGAAGAAGGCCUUAGGGUCGUAAAGCUCUUUCGCCUGUGAUGAUAAUGACAGUAGCAGGUAAAGAAACCCCGGCUAACUCCGUGCCAGCAGCCGCGGUAAUACGGAGGGGGUUAGCGUUGUUCGGAAUUACUGGGCGUAAAGCGCGCGUAGGCGGAUUGGAAAGUUAGAGGUGAAAUCCCGGGGCUCAACCCCGGAACGGCCUUUAAAACUCCCAGUCUAGAGUUCGAGAGAGGUGAGUGGAAUUCCAAGUGUAGAGGUGAAAUUCGUAGAUAUUUGGAGGAACACCAGUGGCGAAGGCGGCUCACUGGCUCGAUACUGACGCUGAGGUGCGAAAGUGUGGGGAGCAAACAGGAUUAGAUACCCUGGUAGUCCACACCGUAAACGAUGAAUGCCAGUCGUCGGAUAGUAUACUAUUCGGUGACACNCCUAACGGA
rnacentral:rRNA from 1 species